rnacentral:rRNA from 1 species
CGCGGCCUAUCAGCUUGUUGGUGAGGUAAUGGCUCACCAAGGCAUCGACGGGUAGCUGGUCUGAGAGGAUGAUCAGCCACACUGGGACUGAGACACGGCCCAGACUCCUACGGGAGGCAGCAGUGGGGAAUAUUGCACAAUGAGCGAAAGCCUGAUGCAGCAACGCCGCGUGCGGGAAGAAGGCCCUAGGGUUGUAAACCGCUUUCAGCAGGGAAGAAAAUGACGGUACCUGCAGAAGAAGGUGCGGCCAACUACGUGCCAGCAGCCGCGGUGACACGUAGGCACCAAGCGUUGUCCGGAUUUAUUGGGCGUAAAGAGCUCGUAGGCGGUUUUGUAAGUCGGGUGUGAAAACUCUGGGCUCAACCCAGAGAGGCCACUCGAUACUGCAAUGACUUGAGUACGGUAGGGGAGCGGGGAAUUCCUGGUGUAGCGGUGAAAUGCGCAGAUAUCAGGAGGAACACCAGUGGCGAAGGCGCCGCUCUGGGCCGUAACUGACGCUGAGGAGCGAAAGCAUGGGUAGCAAACAGGAUUAGAUACCCUGGUAGUCCAUGCCGUAAACGUUGGGCACUAGGUGUGGGUCUCAACCAACGAGAUCCGCGCCGUCGCUAACGCAUUAAGUGCCCCGCCUGGGGAGUACGG